GUGUGUUCGGUGCCAGCAGGCGCGGGAAGACGAACCGAGCGAACGGUAGGCGGAAUCACGGGGCGUAAAGGGCGCGUAGGCGGGCAUCCGGGUCCGUGGUGAAAUCCGGCAGCUCAACUGUCGAACUGCCGCGGAUACUGGGUGCCUCGAGGGAGGUAGGGGCGUGCGGAACUAUUGGUGGAGCGGUGAAAUGCGUUGAUAUCAAUAGGAACUCCGGUGGCGAAGGCGGCACGCUGGACCUCUUCUGACGCUGAGGCGCGAAAGCCAGGGGAGCAAACGGGAUUAGAUACCCCUGUAGUC
rnacentral:rRNA from 1 species